GGAGGGGGGGCAAGCGUUGUUCGGAAUUAUUGGGCGUAAAGGGCGCGUAGGCGGGCCACGUAAGUCGGUUGUGAAAUCCCUUGGGCUUAACCAAGGAACUGCAACCGAAACUGCGUGGCUAGAGUCCCGGGAGAGGGUAGUGGAAUUCCCAGUGUAGCGGUGAAGUGCGUAGAUAUUGGGAGGAACACCAGUGGCGAAGGCGGCUACCUGGACCGGUACUGACGCUGAGGCGCGAAAGCUAGGGGAGCAAACAGGAUUAGAUACCCUGGUAGUCCUAGCCGUAAACGAUGAGCACUUGGUGUAGCGGGUAUUGACCCCUGCUGUGCCGUAGCUAACGCAUUAAGUGCUCCGCCUGGGGAGUACGGUCGCAAAGGCUG
rnacentral:rRNA from 1 species